CCAACUUCCUGUGCUGUAGACCGUCGCUGAAGACUGUCAGUUUCCUUGUCACACAGACAUGAAAAAAGUUUAAGUCUCUGCGACUGUCGCAAUGUCUGUUGUCGAGGUUACCGGACUACCACAGCAACCAGAACAAUUUCUCCUGCGACAAAUGGCCUAUGAAGAGGUCCAUUAACACUUGCAGGAAAGAGACGCUGAAAUGGGUUUUAAAUGCUACAAGAUGGAGAGCAAUCUUUUUCCACAUGCAAGGACAAAGUUAACGUGG
rnacentral:lncRNA from 1 species